rnacentral:rRNA from 1 species
GACAGAGGGUGCAACCGUUGCUCGGAAUCACUGGGCGUAAAGGGCGUGUAGGCGGGACAGUAAGUCGGGCGUGAAAUCCCUGGGCUCAACCCAGGAACUGCACUCGAAACUACUAUUCUUGAGUGUCGGAGAGGAAAGCGGAAUUCCUGGUGUAGAGGUGAAAUUCGUAGAUAUCAGGAGGAACACCAGUGGCGAAGGCGGCUUUCUGGACGAUAACUGACGCUGAGACGCGAAAGCGUGGGGAGCAAACAGG